GUGACCUCGAUCAGUAGGAUGCC
rnacentral:rRNA from 1 species